AACGGCCGCGGUAUCCUAACCGUGCGAAGGUAGCGUAAUCACUUGUUCUUUAAAUGAGGACUAGUAUGAAUGGCACCACGAGGGUUAAGCUGUCUCCUUUUUCUAAUCAGUGAAACUAAUCUCCCCGUGAAGAAGCGGGGAUUAUAAUAUAAGACGAGAAGACCCUAUGGAGCUUAAAACAAAUUAACACCUGCUUCUACCUAUUUUCCUUCCUGAACUAAUACAUAAAAUAUAGCACCAUUGAUUAAUAGUUUUCGAUUGGGGUGAUCAUGGAGUAAAAAUUAACCUCCACGACGAAAAGGAGCACUUCCCUGAGCUAAAAGCUACAACUUUAGGCACUAAAAAAUUAACGCACUUUGACCCAAAUUUUUGAGCAACGAACCAAGUUACCCUAGGGAUAACAGCGCAAUCCAUUUCAAGAGCUCCUAUCGACAAAUGGGUUUACGACCUCGAUGUUGGAUCAGGGUAUCCCAGUGGUGCAGCCGCUACUAAAGGUUCGUUUGUUCAACGAUUAAAACCCUACGUGAUCUGAGUUCAGACCGGAGAAAUCCAGGUCAGUUUCUAUCUAUAAAGGGCUUUUUCUAGUACGAAAGGACCGAAAAAGCAUGGCCAAUGAUCAAUUAAGCCAUAUAAAUUACUUAUGUUUUCAACUCAACUAGAAACUAACCUACCAUAAACCUCAAAAAAAGAGAAGUUAACGUAGCAAAACCUGGCCCUGCAA
rnacentral:rRNA from 1 species